UGGUGGAGUGAUUUGUCUGGUUAAUUCCGUUAACGAACGAGACCCCCGCCUGCUAAAUAUUGCCGGCAAUCAUCUGUAUUGCUGCUGCGAUUCUUAGAGGGACGUUCGCCCCACAAGGCGAAGGAAGAUGGGGGCAAUAACA
rnacentral:rRNA from 1 species